rnacentral:rRNA from 1 species
UGCGCAGGCGGUCCGUUGUGUCCGAUGUGAAAGCCCCGGGCUUAACCUGGGAAUGGCAUGGGAAACUGGCGGGCUGGAGUGUGGCAGAGGGGGGUGGAAUUCCGCGUGUAGCAGUGAAAUGCGUAGAGAUGCGGAGGAACACCGAUGGCGAAGGCAGCCCCCUGGGCCAACACUGACGCUCAGGCACGAAAGCGUGGGAGCAAACA